CGGGGAAGUCGCACAGUCCGGGAGUGCUGGGCCGGGUGGGAACCUUAGGGUUACUGUUCUGUCGGAGCCAGAGUCCUCCCAAGCCGAGGAAAAUAACCCCGAAAGUACUAGUUCCAAAGUCAGGCCUUGGCAAUCACUAGCUGCGCAACUUCUGGCAAUGGCUGCGGCGGUUAACUGAGCACCUCCAAACUUCAGCCUCCUUAAGAGCCCUCUAGAGGCCUUAGCGCGUUGAAUUUUCACAAUCCUUGAGUGUCAGUUGGUUGCAGAGCUCAUUCUGUACAAACAAGCCUAGCAAGUCACUUACUCGACUAAAGUAUAAUGAUCGCUGCUAUACUUGUUGAAAGCAUUGGAAAUACAUAAAAACAUCUAAUGGUGCCUCACAUAUCGAGAUGAUCCCCCAGGAAAAGUUGAAGGAUGCUGCAGGGGCUUCAACUCGGGCACAAUCUUGAAACUGAAGCUCUACCUUGGCUGUUGGGAGGUGAUGCCAUCAACGAUUUUUUUUCAGCUCAAGCACAUAUCCUCCUUUAUUCAGGAUGGCAAUAAUAAAGUGGCUCUAGCUGCUUACACGGUCUCACUUCCUCCUGACAAUGACCUGUAUCUCUGUCACCUCUGUGUCCUUGGCAUUAAGCAUGAUGCAUGGAAUAUAGUACUACUUCAAGUUGUUUGAUGAACAACCCUCUGAGUCGAAGAGAGAUGACUCCUUUGACUCCUGGGUCUUUGACUCUUGGUUCUUGAAAUUAAACUACUUUCUGUAUGUUUAUU